rnacentral:rRNA from 1 species
CAGUCGCCGCGGUAAUACGAAGGGGGCUAGCGUUGUUCGGAUUUACUGGGCGUAAAGCGCACGUAGGCGGACUUUUAAGUCAGGGGUGAAAUCCCGGGGCUCAACCCCGGAACUGCCUUUGAUACUGGAAGUCUUGAGUAUGGUAGAGGUGAGUGGAAUUCCGAGUGUAGAGGUGAAAUUCGUAGAUAUUCGGAGGAACACCGGUGGCGAAGGCGGCUCACUGGACCAUUACUGACGCUGAGGUGCGAAAGCGUGGGGAGCAAACAGGAUUAGAUACCCCAGUAGUCCCUGUCUCUUAUAA